UACGUAGGGGGCAAGCGUUUGUCCGGAUUUAUUGGGCGUAAAGAGCGUGUAGGCGGCUUUACAGGUCCGUUGUGAAAACUCGAGGCUCAACCUCGAGACGCCGGUGGAAACCGUAAGGCUAGAGUCCGGAAGAGGAGAGUGGAAUUCCUGGUGUAGCGGUGAAAUGCGCAGAUAUCAGGAGGAACACCCGUGGCGAAAGCGGCUCUCUGGGACGGUACUGACGCUGAGACGCGAAAGCGUGGGGAGCGAACAGG
rnacentral:rRNA from 1 species